rnacentral:rRNA from 1 species
UACGGGGGGAGCAAGCGUUGUUCGGAUUUACUGGGCGUAAAGGGCGCGUAGGCGGUCAGCACAAGUCAGUUGUGAAAUCUCCGGGCUUAACUCGGAAAGGUCAACUGAUACUGUGCGACUAGAGUGCGGAAGGGGCAACUGGAAUUCUCGGUGUAGCGGUGAAAUGCGUAGAUAUCGAGAGGAACACCUGCGGCGAAGGCGGCUCGCUGGAACGGUACUGACGCUGAGGCGCGAAAGCGUGGGGAGCGAACAGG